rnacentral:misc_RNA from 1 species
AACGCACAUUGCGCCCGCCAGUAUUCUGGCGGGCAUGCCUGUUCGAGCGUCAUUUCAACCCUCAAUUCCUCUUUUGGAGUUGGUGUUGGGGAUCGGCAAGGCGUCCUCCGGGUCGCGCCGUCCCCCAAAUUUAGUGGCGGUCUCGCUGUAGCUUCCUCUGCGUAGUAAUACACCUCGCUCUGGAAACGCGGCGCGGCCAAGCCGUUAAACCCCCAACUAUUUUUUGUUUGACCUCGAAUCAGGUAGGACUACCCGCUGAACUUAA